rnacentral:rRNA from 1 species
CAGCCGCCGCGGUAACACGAAGGGGGCUAGCGUUGCUCGGAAUGACUGGGCGUAAAGGGCGCGUAGGCGGCGAUCAAAGUCAGGCGUGAAAUUCCUGGGCUCAACCUGGGGGCUGCGCUUGAUACUUGGUUGCUUGAGUGGGGAAGAGGGUCGUGGAAUUCCCAGUGUAGAGGUGAAAUUCGUAGAUAUUGGGAAGAACACCGGUGGCGAAGGCGGCGACCUGGUCCUUGACUGACGCUGAGGCGCGAAAGCGUGGGGAGCAAACAGGAUUAGAUACCCCUGUAGUCCCUGUCUCUUAUAC